rnacentral:lncRNA from 1 species
UUUCAUAAUCAUAGAAUCAUAGAAUGGUCUGGGUUGAAAAGGACCUCAAAGGGCAUCUAGUUUCAACCCCCCUGCUAUGUGCAGGGUCGCCAGCCACUAGACCAGGCUGCCCAGAGCCACAUCCAGCCUGGCCUUGAAUGCCUCCAGGGAUGGGGCAUCCACAACCUCCUUGGGCAACCUGUUCCAGUGCGUCACCACCCUCUGAGUGAAAAACUUCCUCCUAAUAUCUAACCUAAGCCUCCCCUGUCCCAGUUUAAAACCAUUCCCCCUUGUCCUAUCACUAUCCACCCUCAUAAACAGCCAUUCCCCCUCCUGUUUAUACGUUCCCUUCAAGUACUGGAAGGCCACAAUGAGGUCUCCCCGGGGCCUUCUCCAAGCUAAACAAUCCCAGUUCCCUCAACCUUUCUCCAUAGAAGAGGUGCUCCAGCCCUCUGAUCAUCUUAGAAGAAGAACAAUUUAUUACAGUUUGGAGAGAUCUCUGAGGAACGAGACACAGACAUUUUUCCUGCUGGUUUGAUUAGUCAUCUCCAGGGAAGAAAGCCAGCCUCAUUAACAAAGGUAAUUCCAAGAAGAAAAC